CUGAGCAGUUCUUCGACUCCAUAGCUUGGCUGUUCUUUUGCAGAACCUUGCAUAGUAAUAAGUGAUGUUAUGGGUAGCCAUAGUACAAGAGACUUCUUUGUGAUGUAGAGUAGAAUGGUAUGCUUGGGAGAUAAACUGCACAUUCCUCUGUGUGAAGCCUCAGUCUCCUGCCAGAACUAAUGCUUUGGAAAUACAGACAAAUAACUUGUGAUCACCUAUACUUCUUGUGAGGCAGCAAACCUGGAGGAGAAAGCAUCCUUAUGGGGCUGAGCUCUCCAUGACGUAAUGUGUCAGGUACAACUUUGAUACACUUUGAUUUAAUGUGAAAACUCGCCACAAAACCAAGAGCCAGGAGGAACAGGGGAGGAUUUUUAAGGGUUUUCCAUCAAUGCAGCUACAAUCUCAUUUUAUAUGUAUGUGUAUAUAUACAUAUGUGAAUACACACAAGCAUGUGUGCAAAGCCACAAGCUUGAGCAAAGGUCCUGAAAUUGCAGGCCUUACUCAUUCAACAACUACUGAGCAUUUGCCAGUGUUCUGGAUGCUGAAGGUAUUGGAGUCAAAGAAAACGAUUCCUGUUUGGAAUGCACAGCUCUUGUUGGAGUACUCCUGCGGCCUCCUGCCAGUGUCUGCCCUUACAACAAUGAAACAGUCAGUGGAGCCCACCCAGCCCCUUGACCAGCAGAGAUGCGAUUGCAUACCGAGAUUUAAAUCAUCAAAAAACUGGAAAAAAAAACCUAACCUGUCAACAAAAGUAACUAGGAUGUCAAAAAUAAAAGCUUUCUGAUACUCAUAACCAUUAUGGAAAUGCUGAGAGGUGUUUAAUUUAGAAAGCAGGUAUGUUGAAAUGCGUUUUGUGGAGACUGCAUUUGCUUUGUGGUUUUCCAUUAUGUCUCCUUCCCUUUUGCAUUUGAUUCACAGAACUCUGUGCUACCAGGCAUUCCUUUCUUUCACUACAACUACUACUAUGACGACGACUACCACGACGACUACUAAAACUACUACUAAUUUAUUUGCUCUUUUUUUGGGCAAAUAGGUCUGAGAAAUGAAAAGGUCUGCAAAAAGAAAUGUUAGGUCCAAGAAAAAUAUUGUCAAAAUCUGAAUAUUUGAAAUGUAUUGAAAGUACAAUUUGGUAUUGGUCUUAAUUUCCAGUUGUUAGCCCCAUGUUCAGCUCUGCCUCAGCAUGUUGGCCUUUGUUUGCUUAGAGGUUGGCAUGAUGGAUGAGCUGGUACCAGAUCAAUGUGUUUAAGUAAAACCUAGAAGUUCCUGGAUUAGCAGAGCACAAUUCAUGUAAAGCCUUGGAACAUCCAGCAGCUGUAUUGCUAUUUGCCCAUGAAGGAGACUGAUUGGUCCAAAUCUCAUCCCAGUUUUAUUUUUGAAAGAGAAAAAUAAAUAAUUUCAGGGCACUCUCCCAAAGUUUGAACUUGGUUCUCAUUCAAGCAGAAAACUUUGAAUUUCUUUCUAAAAAAAAAAAUCAGUAACAGCAACACACAGAGAAUUUAUAGUGAAGAAUACUCCAAGCUCCGAACUCAUUACAGACUUUCCCAUCUGGCCUGAGAUGGCAAAUAGAAUUACCUUCAUUUCACAGGCAAGAAAAUGGAGGUAGAGAGUGAAUAAAUGAUUUGGGUAAAUUGGAAGAAGAGAAGAGAAUUGAGUUCAGUUUCCUGACAUUUAUUUAUCUACCCUAAACCUUCAGUUGUCGAAAAAUGUUGUGUUUUUGUUUACACAGUUCAGGUGCCACAAAGAAUGUGCAGUUCUCAUCAGCCUCCUGUAGUCAUCCAGCCAAUGAAUGAAAACCUAUAGUAGGACAAUCCGCUUUAUCUUUGUAUACUUUUUACUAUAAAAAGUUUUCCAUUUAGAUUAACCAAACUCUUUUUAACUUUUAUUUAAUAAAUAAAAAUUUACAAAGUACAGCUUUUGAGUUACAGUGGCUUUUUGCUUCCCAUAACUUUCCUCCCACCUGCAACCUUCCCAAAUCCCACUCCCUCUCCCAUUCCAUUCACAUCAAGAUUCAUUUUCAAGUAUCUUUAUAUACAGAAGAUCAAUUUAGUAUAUAUUAAGUAAAGAUUUCAACAGUUUGCACCCACACAGAAACACAAAGUGUAAAGUACUGUUUGAGUACUAGUUAUAGCAUUAAUUCACAUUGUACAACACAUUAAGGACAAAGAUCCUACAUGAGGAGUAAGUGCACAGUGACUCCUGUUGUUGACUUAACAAAUUGACACUCUUGUUUAUGGCAUCAGUAAUCACCCUAGGCUCUAGUCAUGAGUUGCCAAGGCUAUGGAAGCCUCUAGUUUGCCAACUCCAAUCAUAUUUAGACAAGGUCAUAGUGAAAGUGGAAGUUCUCUCCUCCCUACAGAGAAAAGUACCUCCUUCUUUGAUGGCCUGUUCUUUCCACUGGGAUCUCACUCACAGACAUCUUUUAUUUAGGUCUUUUUUUUUUGCCAGAGUGUCUUGGCUUUCCAUGCCUGUGAAACUCUGAUGGGCUUUUCAGCCAGAUCUGAAUGCCUUAAGGGCUGAUUCUGAGGCCAGAGUGCUGUUUAGGACAUCUGCCACUCUAUGAGUCUGCUGUGUAUCCCACUUCCCAUGUUGGAUUGUUCUCUCCUUUUUAAUUCUAUCAGUUAGUAUUAGCAGACACUAGUCUUGUUUAUGUGAUCCCUUUGACUCUCAGACCUAUCAUUAUGAUCAAUUGUGAACUUAAACUGAUCACUUUGACUAGUGAGAUGACAAUGGUACAUAUCACCUUGAUGAGAUUGAAUUAGAAUCCCUGGGCGCAUUUCUAACUCUACCGUUUGGGGCAAGUCCAAUUGAGCAUGUGCCAAACUGUAUAUCUCCUCCCUCUCUAUCUUCCAUUCUAUAGUUCUACUCUUUGUAGUUAUAUGGAACACAUUUAAUAUCUUUGUUACAUCCAAACCAUUUUGAUACUUGAUAACAGCAUUCACAUUUUCCUUGGAACUGAAUGUUGCAAGUCUUUCAGUGUUUCCUCAGUGAAUAUGGUCAUGAGGCUUGCUCUUACUCUGGUAUAUCGUCUUAAGCUAAUGUCCUUUUAACUAAAUUCUGUUAAAAUUUACAAAGUCCAAAGGAAAAAAUACAAUUCUUUAGGAAUUAUGUGAUCAUGGAAGAGUUAGAACUUUAAGUUUCUUGAUUCUGGAUUAUGUACCUCUUGGAAUGAAUGUAACCUAGGCUCAUCUUUUCUUUUUUUUUUUUUGUAGGAUUGGGGGAGUAGUCAUAAUUCUUUCUUCAAACUCAGUUUAUUGUCAGAAUCCUCAAGAUCCUCACACAUAGUGCUAGUGAUUUAUCAUUCAUUUGUCUCUUCAGGUUUGUUUUCUUUUCCAUUCUAAAAUACACAUAUAUUUAUCUCUGAAUUUUAUCUUAAUAACCCCAAUUUUUUGGUCUAGUCUAUAAAACAUUUUGGGAUUUGACCAUAAUAUCUAACAUGCUCUUCAUCCAUCUCAAGCUUUGUGUUAUCUGAAAAUGUAUGACCAGGCCCUCUAAGUCACCAUCCAAGAUAUUGAAAACCAUUUUUGCAUGAUCCAUAACUAAAGGGAAGAUGCUCUCUCUUACUGACUUGUAUCCAUUGUUUUGUAUCAUUUGGAUAUUUAAAAAUUUUACUUCUCUAAAAAUAUCCUUGUUUGCAUUCCAAAACUCCCAAUUUUUUGUUAAGACUAUUGUUAUUGAUCCCAUUAAACCCCUUGCUAAUGUCUAGGCAUAUCAUAUUUCUGUUUGCUAAGGUUUCUGCAUCCUACAGCUAUCUAAUUUUUUUUUAAAGAAAGAAAUUGGAUGCAUCAACCAAAAUGUGUUGAUAAUUAACCUACACUGAGUCUAGGAGUCCUAACUGUACUGAAAAUUUAUGGAGAGUGAUAUGUAGUGAUGACUCAGUAAAAUGUGUUGAUUAUGGCUAAAGUAUGACCUGAAUCUUUGAGUUUCCAAGGAUUAUUCAAACAACUAUUGACAUUCUAUUUUAUAUAUUUUGAUAUCAGAGAAAAUUAAACUGAUAUAUUACACCUAUUUUAGAUGUCCAAUGAGGAGCUCACAAAUUUUCUAACACUUAAAAAGUUGUAUCUAGGAAAUGUAUGCCAAUUAUACAGAAAUGUAAGCAUUUGGAUCAGAAUUUGUUCUUACUGUGGAACCGCCCAUGCAUUAACAGAAUACACAGGUAAAAUUUAUAAAAUCUACAUGACCCACUGGAAGUUUGUCAGAGUCUACAGGAAAAAAAAUUAAAGGGCGUACUUUAAGAUAGGCAGAGAAAGAUUCCUGUUAUCAGUCUUCACAUUUCUGGGGUCGGGGUGGGGAGUGCAGGUUCCUGGUUUUAUUUUUUCCUACCUAUUUUCUUCUGACUUGCAGAUGAUUGAUUAGUUCUGGUGAGCAUGCUCUGGAAGAUAGAAUAAGUCCUAGGCUAUGAAUAACAUAAACCAAAGAACUAUUAUGAGUGUUGGCGAAAUCCUUGAUAUCAUGAAGUCCAACUUUCAAACAAGGUUGUAACCCUUUCUGUGAUACCCCUGACAUAUGUCCAUCCAUCCAGUCUACCCAAGUAUCUCAUGUAAUGUGGCACUCAUUAGUAACAAAGGAACUACUCUAUUUUUAGGAAAUUGUAAGUAUGAAAAAAUUUUCUAUUUAUAAUGAGUGGCAUUUUCCUCCUGUGCCUUUUGCCUAUGUUUGGUGCUGCCUUUUGUGUGAAGAUAGAGUAAUGUUAGCAUGUGUUCUACCUGUCAAAUCUUUAGAUUUUAAGGAGGCAAUCUGUUUUUUUAAAUAAUUGAGCAUUUCAGUAUCAGCUAUAGCUGUCUUUCCUCUGCUUAGUUAGGGCUAAGAAGAGGAGUGGGGAGGGUGGGGUGGUAUACAACUCUCAUGGGAAGGCCUAGUGGUUAACAUGAUGGACUAGAAAUUGAAGGAUACACAGUCUCCCAUAUUUUUUCCAGGAAAUGUGAUCUAGAGAAUAAAUGUACAGAUCUUUAAAAAGAUUACAUAAUUUGUAAAUAUACACACUUAUGGCCUCAGAUAAAACAGCUGUGUCUACGUGUCUGACCCAUCAUGAAUGUUCUCUGUGCCAACUUUUCCCUUGAGUCCUCUCAAACCCAAGGCCAACCCCUUUUAAUUGCUGUGCUCUACCUCACCUUCAUCCCCAAUCAGUUGUCACAUUUAUAUUUAAAACAAUAAACUUUUUUUAACUUCAAAUCAUGGCUGCUGUUUCAUUCAGUCCCAUUCUGUUUCAUUAUAAUGUGUGUUUGAAACUUUUUAAAUGUCUAAGUAAAAUGAAAUAAAAUGCAAACUUCUUUUGAGUUUGCUAUAUGUCACCUUAUUCUUUCUCUUCAAACUGCUUACUCCAACUCUGUAAUCCUUGCUCCAAAUCCUCCUUUUAGAUUGAAAAAAAAAAAAUCAAAUACCUAUGCCUUCUCUUGCUAAGACCUUAUUUCUAGUUUCUUUAGCUUCUGUAACUCGUCAAUACCUAGUUCCAUUUCCAAUUUAAAUCGUUCUUUCUAUAUGAAUAACACUGCACUAGUCUUUUAAUCUGCAUACUGUGAAUAUAACCAAAGGGGCUUAAAAAAAUAAAACCAAAAAGCUUUUAGAAUUAGUAGAGGGGGAGUGUCUGUACUUUAAGGGAUUCUGAAUCGUUUUUGUUUAAAAAGUAUCAAAUGUGGCACCUGGGUGGAAUCCUUGGGAUAAUCCCAAAUUAUCCAAGUCUUACUUACCAUGAUCCCUGUGAAGGAACAAAUGAAGGCCAAACACAAAGGAAAAUGUGUGUGUCCUAACAGACAAUAUGUUUUUCCUCCCAUAAUAUUGUUACGGGUGGUGGUAAUCACAUUGCUCUUAAAAGAAAACAGAGUUCCAUUUUAUUUUCAUGGUCCUAAUGAAUAGAUCUCCAUUUAUGAUACUACAAAGUCAUUUCAGGGUAUGAGCUCUUCUGUUUCAGAGUAGUUAGAAUAAUGGAUGAUCUUUUCUGCAAUUACUCCGGUGUAAUUAAGUCUGUGGAUUUUGCUGACUACUCUAACAGUCAAGCAGUGAAGCUUGUUCCUGGAGGUUUAUUAUUUCAAUUGAAUGUCAGCUCUCCUGCCUUGCUCUGCCCCUGUAGAUGGGUUUAUGAAUUUAUGGUACACAAUGCCAUUUUCAGAACCUACUGGGUACAGCUAAGAUGAAUUAGGAGAAGGGAAGCGUAUUUCUACUGGGAUGUACACUAGUUGUACUUUUCUUAUGUCUGAGAGAGCUGAAGAGGUUUCUGUGGAUAAAUCUGCUUAGAUAGGCUGGAAACGGGUGCACAUCUAAGGGGGAAAAGAACCCGUGAGCAUAAUCACAAGGUUGGCCAAAAGACACUUGUGGGGCAGGGACCAUAUCCUAUUCACUGUUUUUUUUUUUUUUUUUUUAAAGAUUAUUUCUUAGAGAGAGAUCUUCCAUCUGCUGAUUUACUCCCCAAAUAGCGGCAACAGCCAGGGUUAGAGCAGAACAAAGCCAGAAGCCAGGAGGUUCAUCCAGGUCUCUCCCAUGUGAGUGAAGGGGCCCAAGGACUUGGGCCAUCUGCUGCUUUCCCAGGCACAUUAGCAUGGAGCUAGAUUGGAAGUGGAGCACACAGGACUUGAACCAGUACCCAUAUGGAAUGCGAGCACUGUAGACAGUGGCUUAACUCACUGCGCCACAGUGCCGGUCUCUGUAUUCAUUUUUGUUUCACUUGGCAUGGUGAUGAGCAUAUGAAGCAUUUUUAAUAAGCAGUUCCUGACCUGUGCAAGGGCUGGGACAAACCACUCUGAAACUAAUAAUCUUGGUGCCUAAGAAAUCCAGAAUCAAGGACAAGAAGUAUAAUUACCUUCUGACUUUGUUCUGAUAUCUGUUCUAAUGGCCAGAUGAUAAAGGUACUUUUCUCACCGUGUUGAUAGACCUUAUGUAGUGUUAAUUUGGGUAGCUUUAAUACUCAAUUUCUAUUUUCAUAGCACCAUAGGAUUAAAAGAUGCCUUGACCCUUUCUGUUUGGAUAGCAAUAUUCCUACAUGGAUACAGAAGAAGUUUUCUAUCUUUAAAAAGCUUUUUGUAUUGAUAGUCUUAGUAGCAGUAAGUAUUCUUAAUAGUUGGAUAAUUAUUCCAAAUACCUAAUAUAAAUAUGUGAAUGUAUAUCAUUCUUUUUUAUGUCUUCUCUCAGUAGGAAAUCUUUUCCUUCAAAUGUUGUACACGUGGGAUUCCUAUACUAGAAAAUAACUACUGUCUAAAUCUUCCUCGUUUCUUUCUGCAAGUUCUCAGAGAAUGACAAUCUAAAAGCAGGAGGGGUAUAAUUAGAAUAUAGGAAAGAGAGGAGAGGAGAAAUUACAGCCUUCAGAGUACUUUCUCUCCCUUAGCAUGAACAGAAAAGAAAUGCCUUCUCAAAUACUCAGCAUGUGGUGCUUGGUCUCGUCUCUUAUCCUGGUUCUAUGCUUCUUAACACUGGUGAUUGUUCCAGACUUCCUGUCUGUAUUUCUGAGGCACCACAUUAUCAGUUCCAUCUUUGAAUCCCAUCAUUAUCAUUGAUUCCGUCUUUACAAAUUCUGAGUUCUGCACUUCUUACCUAAAGUAUAACAGAGAUUGGUUGGUUUGGGCUUAGCAGUUAAGAUGCCCAUUUCCCAUUCUGUAGUACUGGGGUUCAAGUCCAGGUCCCAGCUCCUGACUGUAGCUUCUUGCUAAUACAAAUACAUAGCCCUCCCCCCCCCCAACCCCUUUAAGACUUAUAUAUGGUAUGGUGCUGUGACAUACCUGGUAAAGCUGCCACCUGCUGUGGUGGCAUCCCAUAUGGGCAAGUUCGAGUCCUGGCUGCUCCUCUUCUGAUCCAGCUCUCUCCCAUGGCCUGGGAAGGCAGUAGAGGAUGGUAUAGGUCCUUGGGCCCCUGCACCCAUGUGGGAGACACCAAAGAGCCUCCUGGCUUUGGAUUGGCACAGCUCCAGCCAUUGCAGCCAUCUGGGGGAGGGGUGUAAACCAGUGGAUGGAAGACUUGAUCUAUCUCCCUCUCUUAUGCUCACUCUCUCUGCCUCUGCCUCUCUGCAGCUCUGCCUUUCAAAUAAAUAAAAUCUUAAAGAUUAUUCAUUAGAGAGGGAGAGAUAGUAAAGGUCUUCCAUCCACUGGUUCACUCCCAAAAUGGCAACAAUGGCCAGAGCUGGGCCAAUUAAUCCAAAGCCAGGAGCCAGGAGCUUCUUUCAAGUCUCCCAUGUGGGUACAGGGCCCAAGCACUUUGACCAUCUUCCACUGCCUUCUCAGGCCACAGCAGAGAGCUGUACUGGCAGAGGAGCAGCUGGAACAUGAACCAGCACCCAUAUAGGAUUCCAGCACUACAGGAGGAGGCUUAGCCCACUAUGCCAUAGCACCACCCCCAGCUAAUGCAUACCCUGAGAGGCAGAAGUUGAUGGCUCAAGUAGUUGGGUCCCUGCCACUUGGGUGGAAAUCUUUCACUGAGUUCUCAGCUCCUGGCUCUUGCUCCAGGCAGCUCUGGCUGUUGUGGGUAUUUGGAGAGUGAACAAGUAGAUAGGGACUCUUACUCUCCUCCUCCCUUUCUUCCUCUUCUCCCAGCCCCUCCUCCCCUUCCCAGCUCUUCUUCUCUCUUCCCUAUCUUCCUCUCCAUUUAGCACCCUCUCCCUCUCAAAUAUAUUUUAAAAAUAAUAAAGCACAAUAAAGAACACUAGAUGUGCACUUCUGUAUUACUACAACAUAUAUACAUCUUGACUUUCUGGCUUGUGUCCAAGUACAUGUAUUUUCUUGCCAAUUUCCAGUCAUGUGAGUGACUCCCCACUUGAGUGGGACUCAGUGGACAUAGGUGACUCUCAUUUAAUUUGAUUCAUUAUUAAGGAAUAAUUUUUAUUUGACAGAUAGUUAGACAGUGAGAGAGAGAAAUGUCUUCCUUCCGUUGGUUCACCCCCCCAAAUGGCUCUACGGCUGGCGCUGCGCCGAUCCAAAGCCAGAAGCCAAGUGCUUCUUCCUGGUAUCCCACGUGGGUGCAGGCACCCAAGCACUUGGGCCAUCCUCCACUGCUUUCCCAGCCCACAGCAGAGAGCUGGACUGGAAGAGGAGCAGCCGGGACUAGAACCCGGCACCCAUAUGGGAUGCCGGCACCACAGGCAGAGGAUUAGCCAAGUGAGCCACGGUGCUGGCCCAAAGGAAUAAUUUUUAAUUCCUUCCACCUUUUGCGCUAGUGAACUAAGAAUUUCAGGCAAUUGAGAAAUAAUUCUUAGACCCAAACUGGGUUCCACUUGUGAGAGCCAUUUUGUUUUCUUUUCCUGGAUUUGAUACAUAUUUGAAAGAAGGGAAGAAGGGAUGAAAGUGAGGAGUUUGGGCUAGAUCACUCAUUGGCUACUCUCAGGUUUUAUCUUGGGUAAGUAGUUAGGAAUCACUUAAGGAGAAUAUUAGAAAAUUGAGCUUUAAGGUAAAGAACUUUUAUUUAAUAUCAGUUAACAGCAUCUUCUUGUUUGCUCAUUUCUAGAAGGCAUGAGUUUGAGCAGAUGACUGACAAGGCUAUUAAGAUUGUUUUAGUUCUAAAUGAACAAAAGUAAUGAAAAUUUCUGAUUAUCCCUUUAUUACAUGAUGCUAAAGGAAAGAUUAGAAAAGAAGUGCUAUCAAAAGAACUAUGACAAAGCAGAGUGAGGACAUUCUAGGCUACUGAAGGAUGGUCUUAUGGGUGUGGAUAUUCUUGGUGGUGAAGCAUGGUUUCAAGGGCCAAGGCUUUCAGUAUGUAGCUCUUUGGGUCUGCAGUAAUAACUGCAGGGAAAUUACUUUUGAAAUGAGAGUCUUGGACCAAUCCUAGAUGUACUGAAUCAGAAACUCUGAGGGUAGAGUGACACUGAAGUGAACUCAAGUUUGCGUACAAUGGAUCUGAUGCAAGAGCUAUUGUAUCAUGUAGACAAGGAUUUAAACAGCAUUCACAUUGCUUGAGAUGUACAUGACCUUGAGUAGAUUAUAUCACUUACUGGAGCUUUAUCCACCAAUAAAAGAUAAUAACAACUCCUUUCCAGUGCUGCUGUGAAGAUUAGACAGGUAAGUAAAACUAGCAUGUUAUCUAGUACUUAUUGUAUACCAAGCAUUGUUCAAGAGACUUUAUAUGUAAUGAUUCAUUUGCCUUUCACAAAAUCCUGAUGAGACAUGGCAUCCUACAUGGGAGGAAAUGGAGACAGAAAGAGGCUUCAUAACCCGUCCAACCUCACACAACUAGUAACUGGUUGAGUCAAAUUUGAACCAGUCAGAGUCUAGAGCCUUUGUCCUUAACCUCCUGCCAUUAUAAGGCACCUGACACACAGUAGGGACUUAAUAUUAAUUCUCUGUUUUACUUCAUCUUAUUUGGAUGACACUACAGUAACUAUGGAGAAUUUCUUAAUUACUGGUUCAGUCUGAUUAUAUUAAUAGCAAAAGAUUAACUAUAAUUGAGUACAAAUUGAAAGCCAGAUCAAUGGAGAUUCAAAUUAAAGCUUAUGCUAUGACUCAUUCCUGGGCAUUUGAGGGAGCCCCGUAAUCUUGACUUUGUUUCUCUCUCCCUUUCCCUACUUCAUGAGUUUAAAGCAGAAGAAAGAGAUAGCAAGCCGAGUUACCUAUUCUCAAACAUUUUGGCUCAAGAUCGCUUUAUGUUUUUAUAAAUUACCUGAAGAACUAUUAUAUCUGGACUUUGUCAAUCAUUUACUAAAGUAGACAUUAAAAUUUGUUAAAAUGCUUAAUUUGUAUAAGUUAUCUAUUAACAUAAAAUUUCUUAUGAAUAUGACUAUUUCUAAAACAAAAGCAUUAAUGAGAAGAGUGAUGUUUUUCUAAAUUAUUAUAACUGCCUUCAUCAUCUGGAUUAGUAGAAGAUGAUGGAAUAUUCAUAUUUCUGCAUCCUAUCUAUUGCAAUAUCACAUUGGGUAGCUUCUGGAAAACUCAAUUUUUUUUUUUCCAAUUUCAUUCUCAUUUUCUCGUGAGUAUGUGUAUAUAUAUUAUAUAUAAAAAGAGUGAAAUGGGGCCGGGGCCGCGGCUCACUAGGCUAAUCCUCCGCCUAGCGGCGCCGGCACACUGGGUUCUAGUCCCGGUUGGGGCGCCGGAUUCUGUCCCGGUUACCCCUCUUCCAGGCCAGCUCUCUGCUGUGGCCAGGGAGUGCAGUGGAGGAUGGCCCAGGUGCUUGGGCCCUGCACCCCAUGGGAGACCAGGAAAAGCACCUGGCUCCUGGCUCUUGCCAUCGGAUCAGCGCGGUGCGCCGGCCGCAGCGGCCAUUGGAGGGUGAACCAACGGCAAAAGGAAGACCUUUCUCUCUGUCUCUCUCUCUCACUGUCCACUCUGCCUGUCAAAAAAAAAAAAAAAAAGUGAAAUGGAAAAUAAUUUCUUAAUAUUAUUAAAAAUAUUUUAUUCUUACAUUCCCCGUGGAAGGGUCUUGGGAGGGGCAGGAGUCAUCUAGAUCACACUUAGAACCCUCUUGCAAGUGUACAGGAGGAGGAAGGAGCAUAGAUAGGCAAGAAUACUGAGUAACUUACUACCUCCUCUUAGUAACUGUUUUUGGGCCCUGAUAUAUCUGCUAAGAAUUAAUCAAAGUGAGUUCAUUUACAUAGAAUCAUGCCAGAAACGCCAGAGUAUGAUGUACAACAAUGUAGACAGCAAUUCCAAAAUAAGAACAAAUUCUAAUUAGCUUAUCAUUAUUACCUUUGGCAUCUGAGUAAAACCAUUUGCAGCAUUAAUGGAAACAGAGCAUAAAUGAGGCAGCAAGAAAGAAGAUAGGUGAGUUUCCAUGGCAAGAAACAGGACUGUGUGUGUGUGUACCCAUUACUCACAAUGAUUUAGAAUGCCUGGAAAAUAGGGUGUGGCUAGAGACUGUGUCUCUUAAUUUCAACAGUGUGUUCUUGAAAUUGAUCUGAAGGUAUCUGAAUUUUACUAAACAAUGAGGUAGAUCUACUCCAAAGAAGAGUCUUUAUGCAAAGAAAUGAAUGGAUAACUGAUCCUUUUGGGAGCUUAUAUUUAGUAAAUAGGGAUCAAAGUGAGAAUGGCAUGAUGGAGUGAAAGGGCUGUUGGUAACACCUGCUUUAUCUAUCCAGGCAGUUAACAAAUCUAAAGCAGUGAUUAUUUAUUCUUCUACCUCUGCAUCAAAUAAGCAGGAAUUGUAUUGUGUUCAGGAAAAAUUUAAAUAACUGUACUGUGGAAUCUCUGCUUUUGCAUAUGCUGAGUUCCUUAAACUUCAUGUUUUACACGCAGAUGUAAUAUGCUUAUCAACCACAGUUUUAAUGUUCUAAAGGAAGAUAGACUACAGUUUGCUAUAUAAGUCAGAAAAAUGUUCCAAUAUUCUGCACUACACAUAUAUGUGAUAUCCCAAUUCAAUUUCAGUGCCACUAUAGAGUGUGUGGUAAAAUUACAAUAGGUUAAGCAGGAUGACUCAUCCUAUAAUAAUGCACAGUUUAGCUGGAAUUGGUACAUAAAAUAUAUACAGUGAACAUAAUGUUUAGUACACUAUAGAUUAUGUUUGGCAUGUUUGGUAGAUAUUUUAUAAGUAUGUCUGAAAUUUUAUAUCAUCUCCAGCAGAUGGGAAAUAAACAGCAACAGGAGUUGUUAAUUUUUUUUAUUAUACAUUGGGAGAAAAGGAAUAAUAAUGCUACAAAAAACAUAUUGAGGCUAAAAAACUAUAAAAGUUUUUUAAACCCAUAUAAAAGUUUUUAAAAUCCGUUUUAAAAUCUUGGGGAAAAAAGAAAUAAAAGGUGCAUUGAAAUGUUUCAACAUCUGUUAUCAGUAAUGGCAGCUCCAAAAAUCAGUCUGUUAGAUAAGAGAAAUCUUUGUGGUUAAAAUACAACUGGCUGUUUUUGAGAUUCUGAAACAGGUAUAUGCUGAGUAGACAAAUUAUAGUGGAAGAAAAUUUUUAAAACUCAAGGGUGAGGCAAAUUAGUCCAAAUUCAAAACUCAAACAUUAGUAUAGAUCUGAAAGCAAUUGGUAACAUACACCUGCUUGCAAACAUACACAUACAAGGUGUUCUGAGACGGCCCUGAGUGCUCCUGGGAUCAUGACUGAAGCAUUUGAAGAAAACUCAUCCUGUUACCCGUCACCUUUGCUCAAAGGUGUCUGUCAUCUUUCCCAACUGUAUACCAGAAACAAAUCUUUGCCAACUUUGCUUAAUCUUCCCUGUUUCCUCCAUGAUAAUAUUCUUAAAAAUAGAUAUGGUCAUGUCACCUCCAAGAUGGAGAAUUUGUUGGCCUAGGUUGCUCACGGUCCACACUCAAGCAUGGCAUGUAUGACUUCCUGACUCAGCACAUGUCUCAGCUUUUUCCACACACUGAACACUCCACAUCUCUCUCUGCUCUGUACAUGUCCUUCCUCCAUCCUGGAGAAAUGUGCUCUCCACGAACUGCUCUAUUUGUGGAGAGUCUACUCCAACCAUAAGUUACUGGUCAAAUAUUUCUCCUCUUGGAAAUUAUCAGCAGGCUUCUCAGGCAGAGUUAUUCUGCCUCUGUGUCUUCACAAGAACACUCCACUUUGACCUUUAUGGAGGUGUUUAUUGCAUUGAAUGGUUAUCACCUGUGUACAGUGCCCUUGCAUGGAUAUAUUCUUCUGGACAAAAUCUUGUAUUAUUUCUGUAUCUCUAAAAAGGCCACCAUAUUGGUGAUCAAGACAUAUUCGCUGAAUGAAUGAUUAACCAGUAAGAAUCUCUGAAAUGCCUUUUACAGUCCUGGAAGCCUAUCAUUCUACAAUUGGAAAUGAAGCUUGAAAUGCAAAUCUACAAGAAAGAAUCAUUGAGGUGGGUGUGGAGGUGGCUAGAUUAAAUUGAAAAAGAAUGUCAGAUACCCUCUUAGAAUUUUAAGCAAGAAGGCCAUGAAAGGCAAGGAUACUAGAGAAAUAACGUGACAGCAGAAUGAGGGAAAUUGCAGUUAAUGGAGGUUGAACACAAGCACAGGAGGUGAAAGUCCUCUUUGCUUACACUAAAUUUCCUUCUUGCCUGAGAGACUAUCUGAUAAAAGCAUUUAGGAUUAGAGGGGAAGCAUUUCAUUUGCAAAUUGUGCUUAAAAUUGUCAAGUGCUUCGCUUUUGUAAAAGGUGAUAGAGAUGGCAAGGUGCUGAUGUCAUUGUAGAGAAGGCUGAUAAGAACAGGUAACUAAUUUCUGGAGUGCUCCUCUCUUGGCUUGGUGAGUUGUUCCUUCCUGUCCCAUGCUGCCAUGAUUAAAGAGAGUAUUGAUUUGCCAUUUGGGACUACAGAAAGCAAAGGGUAUGCAUGGUAGUUUCAGGGAUUUGAAAAGCCUCUCCAUCUUGCUACUUUCAGAGCUACGUGGUCAAAUUACUGAAUUAAAGGUUUGCCAUGCCUUCAGCACCCUCGGUGCUUCUAGCUCACCCUCUUAUCCUUUAUCCUCCUGACUCUGCUGGUCACUUUCUUCCCCCAAGGUGAAAAUGCUCAGCAAUACCAGCAAUUGACCAACCCAAUCAAUUGAGAGGGAGUAUUUCAAAAAGUUGCUAUAGAGUGGAAUUAAAAGAUAAGUUUGUUUUGGUGAAAAAAAUUGAAAUCCAUGUAUACAAGGGUUCUACAAGAAGUUAAUGGAAACGUAUUAAUGCAUGGAUUUCAGAAUUUUGGGGCACCAAAAUAAACUUACCUUUUCAUUCCAUCUUGAACUUUUUGAAGUCGCCUAAGAGACCAAGCAUGCUCAACCUCAUUGCCCUCGAGCCAGGUAAUCUUUCUCAAAGAAGAUGGAAAGAAACUGUCAGCAGCUGGAAAUGAAGAACUAAUCAUGGGCCUUCCCUUGGGGGAAGGAUUUGCUCUUCAAUUAUGCAAUGUGAGUAAUGGCUUACAUUGUGUGUAUAAGACUGACCUUGCCCACUUUUAGAUUAUCUUUGUGUAUAGUUCACAUGGGUGCUGAAAUGAAGAAAAACAUGUCCACAUGUGGGGAAAUACUGAGCAGAUCCAGCAGAGGCAAAAUGUAAUCCAGUCUUAUAUAUCCAGGCUAAUGGGAUUCUACUUAACUAGGGUGAAAAGCAAGAGCAUUAGAAUGAUUCAGUCAACACAGGGGGUACAGAACUAGGCUGACCUUGGCAUAUGUAAGAGACUUUGGGAGCAGCCUGGGGGAUAGAGAGGAGGUAUCUGCUCUCACUGAAGCAGUAAUGAAGCUCAGAGGAACUUUGCUCUCCACAACCAAUUGAGCUGUGCCUCUCCCACCACUAAUUCCUGUGAAUCUAGGAAAGGUGACUGGGGAAGCAAUUAGAGAAGAAAAAAAUUUUUUAAUUUUUUUUCUUCAGUCUUAUUGCUUUCUACAAAGAAUCCGAGUUUUGUUUCUUCUGUUGUUGUUUUUUAGUAUAAAACUAAAGGAAAUAAAGCAGUUCAGAGCUUUUACAUCAAGGUUGUACUUUCAAAUUGCCAGAAGAGAAAAAGUAUAAAUGAAAGAGCACACACAUACACACCCAAAGCACAUAUAUUUUAAAUUCGUUUUCAUGCCACAUUAGUUCAUUUUAAUUUGACAAAAAUUGACCACUUUAUGUACAGAACACUUAGUUACAGGUAAGACAAGAAGAAAUUAGCCUUGCUUUUCAGGAAAUCAAAAUCUAAUAGAGAAAAAGCCAUAGAUAAGAAUCUCUGAUACAAGGAUUUAGCAAGGAUGCAUAAUAAUAAUUAUGAAAAUGAAGUAAUUACCACAUAUUUUUGAGCUCAGCUUAUACAUUCCCACUCCCACUAUUUCCCAGGCACCUUUGUAGGGACCCGUUCUGUGCUGCCUUGCAGAGGGCCAGUCUGACAAUGCCUUGCCUUGACCUGUUCCUUUUGAUUUUUUUGUCCUGGAUCUUAUCCUGAGCAAUGUUGUAGGACACCCACAGGUAACCCCUUAACUUGUAUUUCAGCAACCUGCAAAUGUGCAGGAGUUAAGCUGACAUGGUGUGUAUGCGGAUAUAUAUCUUGGAUCAAUCAGGAACACGAGGUGACAUGUUUCACCUUGUUCUAAUCCAGGACACAGAAUUCUGAGGCACAUUUAGUUAUUUGCAGUGGUGACCAGUGCUGGUAUUGGCUUUCUAACCUUCCUGUAUUCUUGAUCCCUAGGAUUACUUCCCAAAAAGCAAAUGGAUAGGGCUUAGCUUCAAGUAGUACUUUUGGGUGAACUUUAAUCAUAGAAAAUGGAAGUAAUUAAUAUUUUUGAGCAUUUAUUAUGCAUUACAUUGAGCAUUCUGUAAAAGCUCAGUUGACUCUGGAUUUUUUUUAAGACAGCUAAAUGCAUAGUGACAGGGAGAGAGGGAAGUGUGGAGAGAGAAAGAGCGAGCUUCCACCUGCUGGUUCACUCCCAGAAUGGCUGCAAUGACUGGGACGAAGCUAGGCCAAAGCCAGGAUCCAGAAACUCCACCUGGGUCUCCCACAUGGGUCACAGGGGCCCAAGUACUUUGGCCUUCAUUCACUGCUUUCGCAGGUGCAUUAGCAGAGAAGAUGGAUCAGAAUUGGAGCACCUGGUACUUAUAUGGGAGGUAGAUGUUGUAAGUUGUAGCUCAACAUAUUAUACCAUAGCACCAACACCUGGAUAUCUCUUAACUUGGGAAAAGCUAUCAUUAUUGUAAUUUUACAAAUGAAAACACUUAUUUAAACAUUUAAUGUUUAAAAUGAAAACUCUCAGAGCAACAACAAAAAGCUUAAAAGUAUAUGGUUAGUAUGGUGGGCAUUGUGGUGCUCUGCCCCAAAUCUCUUCCAUUCUUGUAAGUGUGUAUGACCAUGUGGCCUCUGAUUGGCCUAGAAGUGAUUAAUCCCACCUUUAUUCCCAUAGUGACUGCUCGGGGCACAGUCCUUGUACAACUUCUCCAUUUAUACUCAUUCACCUGCUGACUUCAUUUAGUCUUGUGGUUUUAAAUAGUGUUUAGACACUACAGCCUUUAAAUGUUAAUGUCUACUCUAGAUCUCUUGGAAUUCUAGUCUUAGAAAUAGAAGGGUUCAUCACAAAGUGUGUGGCAAAUGGAAUUAAAAGGUAACUUUAUUUUGCUAUAAAGCAUUUUGUGUGUUUUUUUUUUUAAAUUUAUUUGACAGAUAGAGUUAGACAGACAGAAAGGUCUUCCUUCCACUGGUUCACCCCUCAAAUGGCCUCUGCGGCUGGUGCUGUGCUGAUCUGAAGCCAGGAGCCAGGUGCUUCUUCCUGGUCUUUCACGUGGGUGCAGGCACCCAAGGACUUGGGCCAUCCUCCACUGCCCUCCUGGGCCACAACAGAGAGCUGGACUGGAAGAGGAGCAACCAGGACUAGAACCCAGUGCCUGUAUGCGAUGCAGGUGCCACAGGCGGAAGAUUAGCCAAGUGAGCCAUGGCGCCUGCCACUAUAAAGCAUUUUGAAAUCCAUGCAUGAGGGGAUUUCAAAAAGUUAACAGAAAAUACAUAUUACAAAAAAAACUGCAUGGAUUUCAAAUUUUUUGCACUAAAAUGAGAUUUAUUUUGGAGCAGGGAAUCUUGGUGCAGCAGAUUAAGCUGCUGCUUGGGACACCUACCUCCCAUAUCAGAUUGUCUGGCAUUGAAAUCUGGCUCCUCAGCUUCCUGCUAAUAUGCCUAAUAGGCUGCAAAUGAUGGCCCAAGUAUUUCAGUCCCUGCCACCCACAAUAGGAGCACUGAAUGGAAUUCCUGGCUUUGGUCUGGUCUAACUCUGGCUGUUGUGACUAUUUGGAGAGUGAACCAGCAGACAAAAGAUUCUCUCAUUCUCAGUCUCUCUCCCUCUCUCCCUCUCUCCCUCUCUUCCUUUUCAAAUAAAUAAAUCAUUUCUUAAAAAUAAACACUUUCAAUUCAAAUUUUUGAUAAACUUUUGAAGUAUCCUUGUACUUGUUGCUUGAUGACGGGAAUAUCCACUGGGCAAUGACUUAUGCUAACACCAAUACCACAGAGUGUACUUACACAAAGCUGGAUUGGAUAGCCUGCUACACAUCUAGAUCAUAUGGUAUAUAUCAUUAUAUAGGUGGUCUUUCAUUGACCAAAAUGUUGUUAUGUGGUGCAUGAGUGAACGCCAAUUACUUCUUAGACAUUUCUACUUGGGCAUCUAAUACAUAUCUAAAUCUUAGUAUGUCCAAAAGUAACUCUGGAUUCCCUUUUUGCUCCUUUCAGUUAAUACCAAAUCAACCUUUUAAUUGCCCAAGUCAAAGCUUGUGAGGACAUCCUUGACUUCUCCCUCUUGCUCACAUAUAUCAUUCUUCAUCCACAAUGGGUGGCUCUGUCUUUAAAAUAUGAGCAGACUCUGACCACAACUCUGGAGUCUAUUAUUACCAUCCACUGAUCUAAGCCUCCAUCCCUAUGUCUGGGUUCUUGUCAAUCUGCUGGCUGCUCUGUAUUCCCAAAGCCUACCUCCCACCAACUCCUAUUAUAGCAUUUACCUGCCUUGACAGUUUGGAAAAUGCUUCAGUCUUCCACACAGAAUUAAAUGUCUAUCUGCAAAUUCUCUCCCCAAACUGCACUCUAUAUAUUGUGUGUGGGCGU